UCUGCCCCUAGAGUCAUUGCGGGUGUGGCUGCUGUGUCACAUGUACAUCAGUAGGUGGAAGAGAGGAGAGAGACUAUAUCUAUGUUCAGUGUUCUGACCUAUGAACAUCUGAGUGAUUAGCAGCUUAACAUU